ACUGAGCGGCGGACGGGUGGGUAACGCGUGGGUAACCUGCCUCAUACAGGGGGAUAACAGUUGGAAACGGCUGCUAAUACCGCAUAAGCGCACAGUACCGCAUGGUACGGUGUGAAAAACUCCGGUGGUAUGAGAUGGACCCGCGUCUGAUUAGGUAGUUGGUGGGUAACGGCCUACCAAGCCGACGAUCAGUAGCCGACCUGAGAGGGUGACCGGCCACAUUGGGACUGAGACACGGCCCAA
rnacentral:rRNA from 1 species